UCUGGUUGAUUCUGCCAGUAGUCAUAUGCUUGUCUCAAAGAUUAAGCCAUGCAUGUCUAAGUAUAAGCACUUUAUACUGUGAAACUGCGAAUGGCUCAUUAAAUCAGUUAUCGUUUAUUUGAUAGUACCUUACUACAUGGAUACCUGUGGUAAUUCUAGAGCUAAUACAUGCUAAAAACCUCGACUUCGGAAGGGGUGUAUUUAUUAGAUAAAAAACCAAUGCCCUUCGGGGCUCCUUGGUGAUUCAUAAUAACUUAACGAAUCGCAUGGCCUUGCGCCGGGCGAUGGUUCAUUCAAAUUUCUGCCCUAUCAACUUUCGAUGGUAGGAUAGUGGCCUACCAUGGUGGCAACGGGUAACGGGGAAUUAGGGUUCGAUUCCGGAGAGGGAGCGUGAGAAACGGCUACCACAUCCAAGGAAGGCAGCAGGCGCGCAAAUUACCCAAUCCCGACACGGGGAGGUAGUGACAAUAAAUACUGAUACGGGGCUCUUUUGGGUCUCGUAAUUGGAAUGAGUACAAUCUAAAUCCCUUAACGAGGAACAAUUGGAGGGCAAGUCUGGUGCCAGCAGCCGCGGUAAUUCCAGCUCCAAUAGCGUAUAUUAAAGUUGUUGCAGUUAAAAAGCUCGUAGUUGAACCUUGGGUCUGGCUGGCCGGUCCGCCUCACCGCGAGUACUGGUCCGGCUGGACCUUUCCUUCUGGGGAACCUCAUGGCCUUCACUGGCUGUGGGGGGAACCAGGACUUUUACUGUGAAAAAAUUAGAGUGUUCAAAGCAGGCCUUUGCUCGAAUACAUUAGCAUGGAAUAAUAGAAUAGGACGUGCGGUUCUAUUUUGUUGGUUUCUAGGACCGCCGUAAUGAUUAAUAGGGAUAGUCGGGGGCGUCAGUAUUCAGCUGUCAGAGGUGAAAUUCUUGGAUUUGCUGAAGACUAACUACUGCGAAAGCAUUCGCCAAGGAUGUUUUCAUUAAUCAGGGAACGAAAGUUAGGGGAUCGAAGACGAUCAGAUACCGUCGUAGUCUUAACCAUAAACUAUGCCGACUAGGGAUCGGGCGGUGUUUCUAUGAUGACCCGCUCGGCACCUUACGAGAAAUCAAAG
rnacentral:rRNA from 1 species